rnacentral:rRNA from 1 species
UUAAAAAGCUCGUAGUUGGAUUUCGGAAUGGGCCAGUUGGUCCGCCUCACGGUGUGUUACUGGCUGGUCUGUUCUUCUUCGCAAAGACUGCGUGUGCUCUUUACCGAGUGUGCGUAGGAUUUACGACGUUUACUUUGAAAAAAUUAGAGUGUUCAAAGCAGGCCUACCGCUUGAAUACAUGAGCAUGGAAUAAUGGAAUAGGACUUUGGUCUUAUUUUGUUGGUUUCUAAGACCGAAGUAAUGAUUAAGAGGGA